GACGAGCGCUGGCGGCGUGCUUAACACAUGCAAGUCGAACGGAAAGGCCCUGCUUUUGUGGGGUGCUCGAGUGGCGAACGGGUGAGUAACACGUGAGUAACCUGCCCUUGACUUUGGGAUAACUUCAGGAAACUGGGGCUAAUACCGGAUAGGAGCUCCUGCUGCAUGGUGGGGGUUGGAACGUUUCGGCGGUUGGGGAUGGACUCGCGGCUUAUCAGCUUGUUGGUGGGGUAGUGGCUUACCAAGGCUUUGACGGGUAGCCGGCCUGAGAGGGUGACCGGCCACAUUGGGACUGAGAUACGGCCCAGACUCCUACGGGAGGCAGCAGUGGGGAAUAUUGCACAAUGGGCGGAAGCCUGAUGCAGCAACGCCGCGUGCGGGAUGACGGCCUUCGGGUUGUAAACCGCUUUCGCCUGUGACGAAGCGUGAGUGACGGUAAUGGGUAAAGAAGCACCGGCUAACUACGUG
rnacentral:rRNA from 1 species